GUACCCGUAGCUCAACUGGAUAGAGUACUUCCCUCCGAAGGAAGUGGUUGUGCGUUCGAAUCGCACCGGGUACACCA
rnacentral:tRNA from 5 species